UGGGGAAUCUUGCCCAAUGGGCGCAAGCCUGAGGCAGCAACGCCGCGUGCGGGAAGAAGGCCCUCGGGUUGUAAACCGCUUUCAGCAGGAACGAAAAUGACGGUACCUGCAGAAGAAGGUGCGGCCAACUACGUGCCAGCAGCCGCGGUGACACGUAGGCACCAAGCGUUGUCCGGAUUUAUUGGGCGUAAAGAGCUCGUAGGCGGUUCGGUAAGUCGGGUGUGAAAACCUUGGGCUCAACCCAAGGACUGCACUCGAUACUGCUGUGACUCGAGUCCGGUAGGGGAGUGGGGAAUUCCUGGUGUAGCGGUGGAAUGCGCAGAUAUCAGGAGGAACACCGGUGGCGAAGGCGCCACUCUGGGCCGGUACUGACGCUGAGGAGCGAAAGCGUGGGGAGCGAACAGGAUUAGAUACCCUGGUAGUCCACGCCGUAAACGUUGGGCACUAGGUGUGGGCUCUUACCAACGGAGUCCGUGCCGUAGCUAACGCAUUAAGUGCCCCGCCU
rnacentral:rRNA from 1 species